rnacentral:rRNA from 1 species
UACGUAGGGGGCAAGCGUUGUCCGGAGUUACUGGGCAUAAAGGGCGCGUAGGCGGUCGUGCACGUCGAGGGUGAAAUCCCCGGGCUUAACCCGGGAACUGCCUUUGAUACGGCGCGACUCGAGUGCGGGAGGGGAGAGUGGAACUCCUGGUGGAGCGGUGAAAUGCGUAGAUAUCUGGAGGAAUACCGGUGGCGAAGGCGGCAUCCUGGACCAUAACUGACGCUGAGGCGCGAAAGCUAGGGGAGCAAACGGG